rnacentral:tRNA from 1 species
UGGGGUGUAGCUCAGUGGUAGAGUGCCUGCCUAGCAUGCAUGGAUCCCUGGGUUCAACCCCAGCACUGCAA